rnacentral:rRNA from 1 species
UUUAAAGAGAGUUUGAUCCUGGCUCAGGACGAACGCUGGCGGCGUGCCUAAUACAUGCAAGUCGAACGAACGGAGGAAGAGCUUGCUCUUCCAAAGUUAGUGGCGGACGGGUGAGUAACACGUGGGCAACCUGCCUGUAAGUUGGGGAUAACUCCGGGAAACCGGGGCUAAUACCGAAUGAUAAAGUGUGGCGCAUGCCACGCUUUUGAAAGAUGGUUUCGGCUAUCGCUUACAGAUGGGCCCGCGGUGCAUUAGCUAGUUGGUAGGGUAAUGGCCUACCAAGGCAACGAUGCAUAGCCGACCUGAGAGGGUGAUCGGCCACACUGGGACUGAGACACGGCCCAGACUCCUACGGGAGGCAGCAGUAGGGAAUCUUCCGCAAUGGACGAAAGUCUGACGGAGCAACGCCGCGUGUAUGAAGAAGGUUUUCGGAUCGUAAAGUACUGUUGUUAGAGAAGAACAAGGAUAAGAGUAACUGCUUGUCCCUUGACGGUAUCUAACCAGAAAGCCACGGCUAACUACGUGCCAGCAGCCGCGGUAAUACGUAGGUGGC